rnacentral:rRNA from 1 species
GUUCUAGAACGUGGGGAUAUCAAACAAUAUGAGAUCCUGGAUUGUCCGCAGAAUAAAAGAAACAUUCGGGCUUUUGGCGAUUCACUGUCAGUGCCCAAGAGAAAGCGUUAAGCAUCCCACCUGGGGAGUACGCCGGCAACGGUGAAACUCAAAGGAAUUGACGGGGGCCCGCACAAGCGGAGGAACAUGUGGUUUAAUUUCGAUGAUACGCGAGGAACCUUACCCGGGCUUGAACUGCAAGAGACGGCUACAGGGAUCUGGAGGUCCCUCGGGACUCCUGUGUAGGUGCUGCAUGGUUGUCGUCAGCUCGUGCCGUGAGGUGUCGGCUUAAGUGCCAUAACGAGCGCAACCCCUUUCGCCAGUUACCAUCAGGUGAUGCCGGGCACUCUGGGGAUACUGCCACCGCAAGGUGUGAGGAAGGCGGGGAUGACGUCAAAUCAGCACGGCCCUUACGUCCGGGGCUACACACGUGUUACAAUGGGGGGUACAGAGAGUAGGUGGCACGCGACGCCCUUCCAAUCAUGAAUCUCCCCUCAGUUCGGACUGGAGUCUGCAACCCGACCCCAGAAGCUGGAUUCGCUAGUAA